rnacentral:miRNA from 1 species
CACUUGGAUGAGGCGCACUAU